AUGAACGCUGGCGGCGUGCCUAAGACAUGCAAGUCGAGUGGGUUUAGACCCACGGCGAACGGGUGAGUAACACGUGGGAACUUCCUUUAAGUUCAGGAUAACCCGCCGAAAGGCGGGAUAAUACUGGAUGUGGUUCCGAUUUAUCGGAACUAAAGUCGCAAGACGCUUAAUGCAAGGCCCGCGUCCCAUCAGCUAGUUGGUAGGGUAAUGGCCUACCAAGGCGAUGACGGGUAGCGGAAGCGAGAGCUUGAUCCGCCACACUGGGACUGCGACACGGCCCAGACUCCUACGGGAGGCAGCAGUUUGGAAUAUUGGACAAUGGGCGAAAGCCUGAUCCAGCGACGCCGCGUGCACGAUGAAGGCCUUCGGGUCGUAAAGUGCUUUUGAUGGGGAAAAAUUUUUGAUUGUACCCAUAGAAUAAGAGGUUGCUAACUCUGU
rnacentral:rRNA from 1 species